GACUCCAUAAUGUUGCAGUUAGCACAUCUGCUUUACAUGCAGAAGGUCCUGGGUUCGCGCCCCACUGGAGCCA
rnacentral:tRNA from 1 species